CCUACGGGUGGCAGCAGUGGGGGAUAUUGCACAAUGGAGGAAACUCUGAUGCAGCGACGCCGCGUGAGGGAAGACGGUCUUCGGAUUGUAAACCUCUGUCUUUGGGGAAGAAAAUGACGGUACCCAAAGAGGAAGCUCCGGCUAACUACGGGCCAGCAGCCGCGGUAAUACGGAGGGUGCGAGCGUUGUCCGGAAUUACUGGGUGAAAGGGGAGCGUAGGCGGGCGAGAAAGUUGAAUGUUAAAUCUACGGGCUUACCUGGUAGCUGCGUUCAAAACUUCUUGUCUUGAGUGAAGUAGAGGCAGGCGGAAUUCCUAGUGUAGCGGUGAAAUGCGUAGAUAUUAGGAGGAACACCAGUGGCGAAGGCGGCCUGCUGGGCUUUAACUGACGCUGAGGCUCGAAAGCGUGGGGAGCAAACAGGAUUAGAUACCCCUGUAGUC
rnacentral:rRNA from 1 species